GCAUAUUCAGAGACAUGCAUUGGGGGUUAAAGGAGUACAUAAGUGAGUACUUAAUUACAGACUUUUCUAUUUGUCAUUUUUUACUAUUUCAUUAAAAAAAUUAUGCAUGAUUCAUAACAUAAGAAUUCUAGUCAUGAGUUGAAUCUUGAUUUGAGUUCAUCUCAUGAAUAUGUCAAGUUUUGUGCCUGAUUAUUCUUUUUCAUGGGUUAAGUAUAUGAAAAUUCUUUUUGAUAUGGUGACGGCGAGAUUCUAUAUGAAGACUUCUGAUAUAUAUCAUAUUAAAGUGUGUACAUUUUAAUUAUUUAAUUAUAUUCUCAAUAUAUCUAACGUGUAACACCAUUUUUCUUUUGUUUUCUUUUUAAGAUCGACCAUGAAUAUUAACUUGUGGUGUACUAACAUAGCUACAUAAAUUGUACCAAAUGCAAUGAAAGUUGUAUGACAAGAAUGGAAUGAACAAGGGUAGUAAUAUACAUCCGUGUCAUUUUUUGGCUUUAGAUCUGCUUGUGCAACUAUGUGUCACUUGACUGGCACCUCUAACUCUUUUUUCUCUCUCUUUUUAUUUCAUCUUGUCAAAUAUAUCUUUAGACUCUAGCUUUCAUCAGUUUCAUUGCCUUUUGACUCAUAUGUUUUAUUAAUUAAUUUUUCCAGUUGAGUUUCACAGUACUAUCAUGUUCAAUUCAUCUUGAUUUAUUAUUCCAUGGAGCUCCAACUUCAUACACCUUUUUAUGUGGAUUCGUUUCUUCUCUGUAUUCGACUUCUUCUUUUUUUACAGAAUAUUGAAGCUCUAAUGAUGGAUUAUUAUUCUCUACCAGGAUGUCUCUCGAGCUCGCUUGACGGGUUGAUUAAUCUGUUGGCGUUCUACAAUUUACGGUGAGCUUGAAUAAUAUUUCUUUAAUGUUUUCUUUUCUGAAGUCAUCUAAAACUAAUGUAUUGAAAUGGGAAGAAUUUGAUGCAACUAACGUAUUUGAAAAUACGCCUACAAGAAGUGUUUUUGACGCAACUAACGUAUUUGACAAUACGCCUUAAAGAAGUGUAAAACAAGUUUAUAGCUAAAAUUUGUACAAUUUCCUCCUCAAGUCUUUUUGUAUGACUUUUGUGGUGGUAAAACUGAAAAUAUUUCAGGCAUGAUUACGUUAACAAGAUGAAUUGUUGAAGGUGUAAGAUCUGUGUGAGGCUCAUAAGAAAAUUCAUUUGCUCAAGUUGCAAUUACAACCUGAGCAUGUUAAUUAAUUAGCGCCUCUGUUGUGCAACUUAAUUUGUAGGUCCAAUGUUGUAUGUUUGUGAGAACUCUAAGCUUCUGCUAUAAGAAAGUAUUUCAAUUUGUUAAUUUCAGUACCGAUGCGGACAUUUGCAUUUACUUUGAGCGGAAAGAAAAGUCAUUGCAAAGAUGAGAUAUUUUGAAUUAUACUCUUUCAAACAACUUGAUCUCCUAAUUUAAAAUAGGAAAGAAUCUAAUAAUUUUGUAUUGAUGUGAAUUAUGGCCUUACAGGUUCUUGAACAAGCAGAGAUGAUUGAGCUUUUGCUGUGGUUUAACCAUAUCAACUCCUUUUAUGCAACUUGCAAUACCCGUUAUGUUUCUUAAUGAGACAUGAUGACUUGAUUGUUGAGUGCAGGCACUUGAUGGCAAAGCUGCAAGUCACGAAGAUGGAGCAUGUUUUCCGUGAACAAAACAGAGUAGCCGACAGA
rnacentral:lncRNA from 1 species